rnacentral:rRNA from 1 species
UACGUAGGGGGCGAGCGUUGUCCGAAGUUACUGGGCGUAAAGCGCGCGUAGGCGGGUUUUCAAGUCUGGGGUGAAAGGUUCAGCGCUCAACGCGAACAGUGCCUUGGAUACUGGGGACCUUGAGUUCGGGAGAGGGCAGUGGAAUUCCUGGUGUAGCGGUGAAAUGCGUAGAUAUCAGGAGGAACACCGGUGGCGAAGGCGGCUGCCUGGCCUAGAACUGACGCUGAGGCGCGAAAGCGUGGGGAGCGAACGGG